CGAGCGGCGGACGGGUGAGUAAUGUCUGGGAAACUGCCUGAUGGAGGGGGAUAACUACUGGAAACGGUAGCUAAUACCGCAUAACGUCGCAAGACCAAAGAGGGGGACCUUCGGGCCUCUUGCCAUCGGAUGUGCCCAGAUGGGAUUAGCUAGUAGGUGAGGUAAAGGCUCACCUAGGCGACGAUCCCUAGCUGGUCUGAGAGGAUGACCAGCCACACUGGAACUGAGACACGGUCCAGACUCCUACGGGAGGCAGCAGUGGGGAAUAUUGCACAAUGGGCGCAAGCCUGAUGCAGCCAUGCCGCGUGUGUGAAGAAGGCCUUCGGGUUGUAAAGCACUUUCAGCGGGGAGGAAGGGAGCAGACUUAAUACGUCUGUUCAUUGACGUUACCCGCAGAAGAAGCACCGGCUAACUCCGUGCCAGCAGCCGCGGUAAUACGGAGGGUGCAAGCGUUAAUCGGAAUGACUGGGCGUAAAGCGCACGCAGGCGGUCUGUUAAGUUGGAUGUGAAAUCCCCGGGCUUAACCUGGGAACUGCAUUCAAAACUGACAGGCUAGAGUCUCGUAGAGGGGGGUAGAAUUCCAGGUGUAGCGGUGAAAUGCGUAGAGAUCUGGAGGAAUACCGGUGGCGAAGGCGGCCCCCUGGACGAAGACUGACGCUCAGGUGCGAAAGCGUGGGGAGCAAACAGGAUUAGAUACCCUGGUAGUCCACGCUGUAAACGAUGUCGAUUUGGAGGUUGUGGUCUUGAACCGUGGCUUCCGGAGCUAACGCGUUAAAUCGACCGCCUGGGGAGUACGGCCGCAAGGUUAAAACUCAAAUGAAUUGACGGGGGCCCGCACAAGCGGUGGAGCAUGUGGUUUAAUUCGAUGCAACGCGAAGAACCUUACCUACUCUUGACAUCCAGAGAAGCCUGCAGAGAUGCGGGUGUGCCUUCGGGAGCUCUGAGACAGGUGCUGCAUGGCUGUCGUCAGCUCGUGUUGUGAAAUGUUGGGUUAAGUCCCGCAACGAGCGCAACCCUUAUCCUUUGUUGCCAGCACUUCGGGUGGGAACUCAAGGGAGACUGCCGGUGAUAAACCGGAGGAAGGUGGGGAUGACGUCAAGUCAUCAUGGCCCUUACGAGUAGGGCUACACACGUGCUACAAUGGCGUAUACAAAGAGAAGCGACCUCGCGAGAGCAAGCGGACCUCAUAAAGUACGUCGUAGUCCGGAUUGGAGUCUGCAACUCGACUCCAUGAAGUCGGAAUCGCUAGUAAUCGUAGAUCAGAAUGCUACGGUGAAUACGUUCCCGGGCCUUGUACACACCGCCCGUCACACCAUGGGAGUGGGUUGCAAAAGAAGUAGGUAGCUUAACCUUCGGGAGGGCGCUUACCACUUUGUGAUUCAUGACUGGGGUGAAGUCGUAACAAGGUAACCGUAGGGGAACCUGCGGUUG
rnacentral:rRNA from 1 species